AGGGAAUCUUCGACAAUGGACGAAAGUCUGAUGGAGCAACGCCGCGUGAGUGAUGAAGGUUUUCGGAUCGUAAAACUCUGUUGUAAGGGAAGAACCAGUACGUCAGGCAAUGGACGUACCUUGACGGUACCUUAUUAGAAAGCCACGGCUAACUACGGUCCAGAAGCCGCGGUAAUACGUAGGUGGCAAGCGUUGUCCGGAAUUAUUGGGCGUAAAGCGCGCGCAGGUGGUUUCUUAAGUCUGAUGUGAAAGCCCACGGCUUAACCGUGGAGGGUCAUUGGAAACUGGGAGACUUGAGUGCAGAAGAGGAAAGUGGAAUUCCAAGUGUAGCGGUGAAAUGCGUAGAGAUUUGGAGGAACACCAGUGGCGAAGGCGACAUUCUGGACUGUAAUUGACGCUGAUGCAUGAAAGCGUGGGGAGCAAACA
rnacentral:rRNA from 1 species